rnacentral:lncRNA from 1 species
AUAAAUAAACUCUUUGGUACAGGUUCAAAUUCUGACCAACAGGACUUGAAAAGAGUCUCACGUCUCCUUUUUAAAGAGAGAGUCAACUGCAGCACAAAUGCCCACCUAACCCUAUCUAAGCUUUGCUGUCUGCCUUCCUUUUUACCCCACUGCUCACUCCACAGAACCCAGUUCCGGAAUGAUCCGAGUGACCACAGGUGCAGAUGUGUCACACACGGGUGGAUGCAAUCGUCUACCUUCGUCUGCGGCGAAAAUUGCAUUUUCCCAGGCUGUCAGUCACAAAUGAGCCCCAGGCCAUCAGAUCCUCUCUUGGAAGAUUUGUGGGCAUCCACCUCAGCAAGAACCAAUAAAGGCCUAA